AUUGAACGCUGGCGGCAUGCUUUACACAUGCAAGUCGAACGGUAACAGGUUAAGCUGACGAGUGGCGAACGGGUGAGUAAUGCAUCGGAACGUGCCCGGUCGUGGGGGAUAACACUUCGAAAGAAGUGCUAAUACCGCAUACGAUCUGAGGAUGAAAGCGGGGGACCGUAAGGCCUCGCGCGAUCGGAGCGGCCGAUGUCAGAUUAGGUAGUUGGUGGGGUAAAGGCUCACCAAGCCGACGAUCUGUAGCUGGUCUGAGAGGACGACCAGCCACACUGGGACUGAGACACGGCCCAGACUCCUACGGGAGGCAGCAGUGGGGAAUUUUGGACAAUGGGGGCAACCCUGAUCCAGCCAUGCCGCGUGCGGGAAGAAGGCCUUCGGGUUGUAAACCGCUUUUGUCAGGGAAGAAAUACUCUGGGUUAAUACCUCGGAGUGAUGACGGUACCUGAAGAAUAAGCACCGGCUAACUACGUGCCAGCAGCCGCCGUAACAC
rnacentral:rRNA from 1 species